rnacentral:rRNA from 1 species
UUGACGGGGGCCCGCACAAGCGGUGGAGCAUGCGGUUUAAUUCGAAGCAACGCGAAGAACCUUACCAGGUCUUGACAUCCCGAUGCUAUUCUAGAGAUAGAAAGUUACUUCGGUACAUCGGUGACAGGUGGUGCAUGGUUGUCGUCAGCUCGUGUCGUGAGAUGUUGGGUUAAGUCCCGCAACGAGCGCAACCCCUAUUGUUAGUUGCCAUCAUUCAGUUGGGCACUCUAGCGAGACUGCCGGUAAUAAACCGGAGGAAGUGGGGAUGACGUCAAAUCAUCAUGCCCCUUAUGACCUGGGCUACACACGUGCUACAAUGGUUGGUACAACGAGUUGCGAGUCGGUGACGGCGAGCUAAUCUCUUAAAGCCAAUCUCAGUUCGGAUUGUAGGCUGCAACUCGCCUACAUGAAGUCGGAAUCGCUAGUAAUCGCGGAUCAGCACGCCGCGGUGAAUACGUUCCCGGGCCUU